rnacentral:rRNA from 1 species
CAGUCGCCGCGGUAAUACGAAGGGUGCAAGCGUUAAUCGGAAUUACUGGGCGUAAAGCGUGCGUAGGCGGUUUGUUAAGUCUGUUGUGAAAUCCCCGGGCUCAACCUGGGAAUGGCAAUGGAUACUGGCAAACUAGAGUGUGUCAGAGGAUGGCGGAAUUCCCGGUGUAGCGGUGAAAUGCGUAGAGAUCGGGAGGAACGUCAGUGGCGAAGGCGGCCAUCUGGGACAACACUGACGCUGAGGCACGAAAGCGUGGGGAGCAAACAGGAUUAGAUACCCCCGUAGUCCCUGUCUCUUAUAC